GAUGAACGCUGGGCGGCGUGCCUCAAACAUGCAAGUCGAGCGAGGCUAUGAAUUACCGCAAGGUAAGGCAUAGCCUAGCGGCGAACGGGUGAGUAACACGUGGGUAACCUACCUGGAAGACAGGGAUAACGAUUCGAAAGGGUCGCUAAUACCUGAUAAUAUCCAUCUGCCGGAUGGCGGAGGGAAGAAAGGGGAAACCCGCUUUCAGAUGGGCCCGCGUCCCAUCAGCUAGUUGGUAAGGUAAAGGCUUACCAAGGCGACGACGGGUAGCCGGUCUGAGAGGAUGUACGGCCACACUGGGACUGAGAUACGGCCCAGACUCCUACGGGAGGCAGCAGUUGGGAAUCUUAGGCAAUGGACGAAAGUCUGACCUAGCGACGCCGCGUGAGGGAAGAAGGCCUUCGGGUUGUAAACCUCUGUCAUGGGGGAAGAAGGAAGUGACGGUACCCCAAGAGGAAGCCCCUGCUAACUACGUG
rnacentral:rRNA from 1 species